CCCGAUCUUCCUUAUUGUUAAUCCUUAGUUUUCCAAUUAAAAAUCUCUCUGAUUCGUUCCUUGUACUUCCCCAUUUGUACAUAGCCCCUUCGUCUCUAGUUUGUUUCUUCUUUACUGCAUUUCUUCCCUUUAUACAUAAUCAAGCAGUAAUCUUGUUGCUACAGUGAAACAUACUUCCAUCGGUCUCCUCCUCUUACUUCAAUUCCACUCGGAGCUUGGUUUCAAGACAUUCCAAUUUAAGCGAAUGGCUACACGCGCGGUGGUUACAGACAUUCACUAUACAGUUGUUGAUACGAAAAAACAGCGAGUUAGGUGCAAUUAUUGUGGAAAGGAGAUAGGUGGUUCUACUCGUCUUAGGGAACACUUGGGAGGAAUGGGUAAAGAUGUAUUACAUUGUGUUAAAGUUCCAGAGGAUGUGAGGGUACAAAUGAAAAAUGACGUAAUGGAAAGAAGGAAAGCAUAUGCCAACACCAAAUUGCUUAAAUCGCUCGAGUCGCGUGGUCUACCGAAGACGAAGUCCAGGUCAAACGACCCCCAUAAGCAAAAAGGCAACCAUGUUUCCAGUCAACCCAGUUUGUCAAGGAAGAGAAACCAGUGCACUAUAGUUGAGUCUGGAUUAAAAAAGAAAGAUGAGAUGGCAGAGAAUUUGAUUAACCCUGAACAAUCAGAUGCAUACAGCGCAGAGAAGAUUGAAAAAGAAUCUGAAGAUAACUCAUCCAAGCAAAUCCAAAGGUGUAUUGGCAGAUUAUUUUUCGAAAAGGGUAUAGAAUUUAGUGCUGCAAACUCCCCUACAUUCCAGAAAAUGAUACGUGCUUUUGUUGGACGUGGAUCCGCGGUGUACAAGGUGCCUAACUCUAAUGACCUCAAGGGGUGGAUUCUACAAGAGGAACUGAGAGCAAUGCAAGAGUAUGUGCGAGAAGUUGUGCAUUCAUGGGGAAGCACUGGAUGUAGUAUAUUGCUGGAUGGGUGGAUGGAUAGAAAUGGGAGAUAUUUCAUUCAUUUUGUGGUUGAUAGCCCACGUGGUCCCAUAUUUAUGAAGUCUGCUGACGUGUCAGAUAUUAUAGGAGAUGUGGCAGCCAUGGUCACAUUGUUAAGUGGAAUUAUUGAGGAGGUCGGGGUACAGAAUGUUGUUCAAAUAAUCUCAUAUACUACUCUUGGUUCACUGAACGCAGUGGGCAAAAGGUUGACGGAAAAAUACAGGACUAUAUCUUGGACUGUUUGUGCCGCUCAAUGCAUAGGCCUCAUCUUGGAGAAGAUAGGAAUGCUGGAUCCUUGGAGAAGUGUACUUGAUAAGGCAAACGAUAUUACAAAAUUCAUUUACACUCAUGAGACAGUUUUGAAGCUUGUGAAGAAACAUACUUCUGGGGUGGAGCUAGUCAGUUCUAGGAGGAUUAGGUCACUGACGCCGUUUCUAAUACUGGAGAGAAUUGAGUCUCAAAAGAAUAAUUUGAAGAUCAUGUUUAGUUCGUUAGAAUGGAAGAGCUCAGCCCUAGCUUCAACAGCUGAUGGAACGCAUGUGACUGAUUUAGUCACUGGAGUGUCGUCUUUCUGGACUGAAGCCCAGAUGCUUUUGAAGGGAAGUCUUCCACUCAUACGUGCUCUGCAUCUAAUUAGUGUAGGAGAUAGUAAACCCCAGUUGGGAUACAUAUAUGCAACAAUGGACCAAGUAAAGGAGGCGAUAAAAGAGAAUUAUAAAGACCAGAAAAUCAAAUAUCAGCCUUUCUGGACAGUAUUUGAUGGCAUCUGGAAUAACCAACUCCGUAGCCCUAUCCAUUCUGCUGCCUUCUUUUUAAAUCCGAGUCUCUUUUACUCUAAAGAUUUCAAUGAAGAUGAUGAGAUGAAGGACGGGCUUACAGACUGCAUCGAGCGAAUGGUAGAGGAUAAACGUGCUCGAUAUUUAAUAUUAUUACAGUUGGAUGAGUAUAUAGCGGCUCGUGGUUCUUUUGGCAACGGAGAUGCUAUUGAUCAAAGAACGACGCUUUCUCCAGAGAAGUGGUGGUCCUUGUAUGGAUGUCAAUGCCCUGAACUGCAAAAUUUUGCCAUAAGAAUUUUAGGUCAGACGUGUACUGGUGCCUUAAGAUAUGGUCUGAGAAGGAGUCUAUCUGAGCAACUACAUAUGAAUGGAAGGAACUGGACGGAGCAAAAACAGUUGACGGACCUCACAUUUGUACAUCAUAAUCUUCGGUUGCAAAAUCCUGUAUCUAUUUCAAGCACAGAUUACAGAGAUAUAUUUCUUGAUGAGAUGGAUCGAAUGGAUGAAUGGGUUGGUGGAGGAGACUUGAAAGAGUCAACAGGUGAACAUGAUGGUGAUUAGAUUAAGCUUGUGCUUUAAUGGGCAUCCAGAUGUUUCGUGGUAUUUGGUUUUGCGGGAGUUGAUGCAAUCUGCCUUGCUUUGGGUGUUGUGGAAGGAGAGAAAUGAUCUAAUUUACUCGGGGAAGUCUGCUACAUCGGAAGUGUUAUCUCGAAGGGUUAAGUCGUUAAUUUUCCAGUGAAUUAAGGUAUAUCAUCCUGAGGUAAUUGUAUCUUCUGUGAUUUUCUGUACAGUUGGAAUUCCCUCUAGGGACGGGAUCCUCCUUAAUUGCUUGUUUUCUUUUCGAUGUCUGGCUUCCUAACUACCUGUGCCUAGCUACUAAUGUACAGUGUAUCCAUUUUUAAUCCAUCCCAUUUUUUAAAUAUUUUAUAUGACAUCUCCCUCGUAUAGCACUAGACAAACAAGACUACGAGUCUAGUCCCUCUUGCCAUUCGUGUAUUUCUGAUUUCAUCCAGUCCCUCGUUUGCGGACAAUUAUAACUACGCAAAUCGCAGAUGAGUCGCUAGUAUUGUUGGCUGCAUUUGGGAAUUUCUCGCAUUGUUUCUCCCCGUAGGUAUUACUCGGCAUAACACUUGAUAAAAUGCAUUCGCGAAGGCUGGUGAUUUUUUUGUGAAUAAACAGAGGUUGGAUUUUUAUUUUAUUUUUUUGUGAAAAACAGUAUGGAAGUGAAACUCAAAGAACAGAAAGAAUGCAAAAUGAAAAAUACUAUAACUUGUUUAUUGGUUUGUUUGUAUGUUAUUUAGUUUUUUGAGAAUUAUUAAACGUAUAAUUUCUUUGAAAAAGAAAUUUGUAAUUGAAACUUUUGCAAUGGAAGGCGUAUGGUUAACCUCAUCAGUUCCAGACAUGUAUGUAAGAAGUUGGGUGGAAUUUCUUUUCUGCCUACAAAAUUUCCACGUCAUCACAAACUCAAAACUCCACGUGUCACUCACCCAAUGAAAUUUUCAAACCAUCUCCUUCCUUUUCUUUCUGCAACUCUCUUCCUCCCAUGAAAUGUCUUCUGCAGCAACACUCUCUUUCUCUUCCAUUUCUUCAUUUUCCUUCUCCACCUUCAGAAAAAUCCAAACUUUCUCAUUAACACCCACUUCUUCAAUUCUCAUUUCAAACAAUUCCAAAAUCAUGAACAUUGCUUCUUCUUCUUCAGAAUCACAAUCACAACCCAGAGCAGUUGCUGUUGUACCAAGCUUGGAUUCCGUUGAAACUGAUAAAAUCGCUGAUGGGACAUUUAGAAGAUGCUACUCAAUUGUUUGGUUUAGGAAUGAUUUGAGGGUUUUGGAUAAUGAAGCUCUCUAUAGAGCUUGGAUGUCUUCCCAACCCGUUCUUCCUGUUUAUUGUGUUGAUCCUAGGAAUUUUGGGACAACACAUUACUUCGGAUUUCCUAAAACUGGAGCUUUAAGGGCACAAUUUCUGAUUGAGUGCUUAGCUGAUUUGAAAAAGAAUUUGAUGAAGCGAGGUUUGAAUUUGGUUAUACGACAUGGAAAACCCGAAGAUAUCCUCCCUUUAAUUGCAAAAGAUUUAUGCCCAUAAGGAAACUUGUUGUGAGGAGUUGCUUGUGGAAAGACUUGUCAAGAAAGGGUUGCAAGGAGUAUCUCUACAAUCAGAGGGAUCCGCAUCCACCAGUCAAAAUCCUACAAAUGUGAAGCUUGAGCUUAUUUG